rnacentral:rRNA from 1 species
GAUGAACGCUGGCGGCGUGCCUAAUACAUGCAAGUCGAGCGAACAGACGAGGAGCUUGCUCCUCUGACGUUAGCGGCGGACGGGUGAGUAACACGUGGAUAACCUACCUAUAAGACUGGGAUAACUUCGGGAAACCGGAGCUAAUACCGGAUAAUAUAUUGAACCGCAUGGUUCAAUAGUGAAAGACGGUUUUGCUGUCACUUAUAGAUGGAUCCGCGCCGCAUUAGCUAGUUGGUAAGGUAACGGCUUACCAAGGCAACGAUGCGUAGCCGACCUGAGAGGGGGACCGGCCAAACUGGAACUGAGACCCGGCCCAGACCCCCACGGGGGGCAGCAGUAGGGAAUCUUCCGCAAUGGGCGAAAGCCUGACGGAGCAACGCGGCGUGAGUGAUGAAGGUCUUCGGAUCGGAAAACUCUUUUUUUAGGGAAGAAAAAAUGUGUAAGUAACUAUGCACGUCUUGACGGUACCUAAUCAGAAAGCCCCGGCUAACUACGU